UGGUUCUGGCAUCGAUGAAGAACGCAGCGAAAUGCGAUAAGUAAUGUGAAUUGCAGAAUUCAGUGAAUCAUCGAAUCUUUGAACGCACAUUGCGCCCGCUAGUAUUCUGGCGGGCAUGCCUGUUCGAGCGUCAUUACAACCCUCAAGUAUAUAUAUUUCAGUAUGUAAUAUAUCUUGGUGUUGGGGCACUACGGUUCUUGUAGGCCUUGAAAAUCAGUGGCAGGCUCGCUAUAACUCCGAGCGUAGUAGUAUCACCUCGCUAAGGACAUGUAGCGGGUUCUCGCCGUUAAAAACCCCUCUUUCUACAGAAGGUUGACCUCGGAUCAGGUAGGAAUACCCGCUGA
rnacentral:misc_RNA from 1 species